GUGGGUAGUUUGACUGGGGCGGUCUCCUCCUAAAGAGUAACGGAGGAGCACGAAGGUUGGCUAAUCCUGGUCGGACAUCAGGAGGUUAGUGCAAUGGCAUAAGCCAGCUUGACUGCGAGCGUGACGGCGCGAGCAGGUGCGAAAGCAGGUCAUAGUGAUCCGGUGGUUCUGAAUGGAAGGGCCAUCGCUCAACGGAUAAAAGGUACUCCGGGGAUAACAGGCUGAUACCGCCCAAGAGUUCAUAUCGACGGCGGUGUUUGGCACCUCGAUGUCGGCUCAUCACAUCCUGGGGCUGAAGUAGGUCCCAAGGGUAUGGCUGUUCGCCAUUUAAAGUGGUACGCGAGCUGGGUUUAGAACGUCGUGAGACAGUUCGGUCCCUAUCUGCCGUGGGCGCUGGAGAACUGAGGGGGGCUGCUCCUAGUACGAGAGGACCGGAGUGGACGCAUCACUGGUGUUCGGGUUGUCAUGCCAAUGGCACUGCCCGGUAGCUAAAUGCGGAAGAGAUAAGUGCUGAAAGCAUCUAAGCACGAAACUUGCCCCGAGAUGAGUUCUCCCUGAGACUUUAGGUCUCCUGAAGGAACGUUGAAGACGACGACGUUGAUAGGCCGGGUGUGUAAGCGCAGCGAUGCGUUGAGCUAACCG
rnacentral:rRNA from 1 species